rnacentral:rRNA from 1 species
GUGGAGCCUGCGGCUUAAUUUGACUCAACACGGGAAAGCUCACCAGGCCCGGACACCAGAAGGAUUGACAGAUUAAGAGCUCUUUCUCGAUUUGGUGGGUGGUGGUGCAUGGCCGUUCUUAGUUGGUGGAGUGAUUUGUCUGGUUAAUUCCGAUAACGAACGAGACUCUGGCCUACUAACUAGUCGACGGGCGCUCUUGUGCAUGAGCCCCGUUCGAGUUACUCUUCUUAGAGGGAUUAGCAGCGAUUCUAGCUGCAGGAGAUUGAGCAAUAACAGGUCUGUGAUGCCCUUAGAUGUCCUGGGCCGCACGCGCGCUACACUGAAUGGGUCAGCGGGUGAUCCCGGCCCGAGAGGGUCGGGAAAUCUGUUGAAAACCAUUCGUGAUAGGGAUUGGGGCUUGGAAUUGUUGCCCAUGAACGAGGAAUUCCUAGUAAGCGCAAGUCAUCAGCUUGCGUUGAUUAAGUCCCUGCCCUUUGUACACACCGCCCGUCGCUACUACCGAUUGAAUGAUUUAGUGAGGCCUUCGGACUGGCUGUCUUGGAUACCUCGGCCCUAACCGGCCGGGGUCCUUUACGUGCCGGAAAGAUGUCCAAACUUGAUCAUUUAGAGGAAGUAAAAGUCGUAACAAGGUUUCC